CGGUAGCCAUCGGACACUGCGGAUCCACAGAGCACCAGUAAGUGCUUCUUGUGACGACAGAAAUGUUUUCUAUCUGCUCCGUCUCAUAUGGAGGCCACUAGCCUCAGUUAGCUAUUGAGCACUUGAAAUGUGACUAGUACAGCUGAGGAGGUGCAUUUUAAAUUUUAUUUAAUUUUGAUAAAAUGUGAAUUUAAACAGUCACAUGUACCUCGUGGCUCCCAUAUUGGACUGGGCGCGGUUGCUCACACCUGUAAUCCCAGCACUUUGGGAGGCCAAGGUGGGCAGAGCACGAGAUCAG
rnacentral:lncRNA from 1 species